GCCAGCGUAGCAUAGUGGUUUGAGUGUUGGACUAUGACUCUGGAGACUAAGGUUUAAUUCCCAGCUCAGCCA